rnacentral:rRNA from 1 species
AGCUCCAAUAGCGUAUAUUAAAGUUGUUGCAGUUAAAAAGCUCGUAGUUGGAUUUCUGGCAGGAGCGGCCGGCCACGCGCUCUGCGCGUGAGUUUGUGCUGUCUCUGGCCAUCCUCGGGGAGAUCGCGUUUGGCAUUAAGUUGUCGGGCGUGGGAUACCCGUCGUUUACUGUGAAAAAAUUAGAGUGUUUAAAGCAGGCUUAUGCCGUUGAAUAUAUUAGCAUGGAAUAAUAAGAUAGGACUUUGGAACUAUUUUGUUGGUUUGCGUUACGAAGUAAUGAUUAAUAGGGACAGUUGGGGGUAUUCGUAUUUCGUUGUCAGAGGUGAAAUUCUUGGAUUUCCGAAAGACGAACUACUGCGAAAGCAUUUACCAAGGAUGUUUUCAUUA